AGUGUGAGCAGUGAGUGAAUGAGCAAGAGCCGUGUGACAACAGGGGCUGACAGGCUGUGAGGUUGGAGGCAGGAAGGACACACUCGAUAAGUUUCGGCGCUGCUCAUCAGCCUGUGUGUCAGCACGCUCUUGCUGACGGGGAACAGCAGGGAGGAAAGCCAUACUGGGAAGUCACUGCUGGUGUGGGACAAGUUACAGGAUGCUUCUGGAGGAGGGAAAUGUGUGUCAUCAACUCCUCAGGUCUGGCCCACUUGCUUUAUUUCCUCCUGCCCACCACCCCCCAAAGGGUUGGGAAUGGAAGCAUAAUAGCUUCGAUAACCUUUGUUAUUUUAUCGUUAUUAUUUUUUAAACUGAAUUCAGCACCACAGGAGGUCACAGAGUCAAUGGUCACAGCUGGCUUUUAAAAAGGGGUUGAGUCAUGUUGUGAUUGGUAAACAGAGACUCAGCCUGAGAUGAGGGCAAUCAAAUUUCCUGCUUCAAGGCAUGGGUUGAUCACCACAGGGGUCAGAAAGAAGUGUUUUUCUCAUGCAAGUCCUGGCAUGAAUAUCUAGGUGAAUGCAUAAAAAAAAAAAAAGAAAAAAAAAAGCUAACUUCUCCCUUUGAAGAGGGAGCAGGGCUGAAAAGCCCAUCCUUAUUUCAAUAGACCAAUGAGUGUUCUGAUUCCAUCUAGCUCUGCUCAAAUGGCAGUUGUGAUUAUAGUGUUACAGAUGCAUUUCCCAUCUAAGCAGGGCAAGAUGUCACUGUCUGCUUGGGCGCAGAUUUACCAAGGGACGUGCACAGGUGUGCUCAGAUGGGGAAAAAUACCUCAGGGCAGGUUUGGAGGGGGUGGUGAACAUAUGGCAGUUGGAAUAGAAACUGCUGAGGGUUUUUUUGUUUGUUUUUUUUGAAGAAGACUCCUAAGAAACCCAUAGUGAUCUAUGGAUGCAGUUACAUGUCAGGUCAAACAAGAUGUUCUCAGGAUAGAUACAAGGGUGUUUGAAUCUCUCCUAAUAACACAGAUAUGUAACUUGAGUUUCUCAGCCUGCCAGACAGGGGGCAAAAAUAAGGUUAUAAUAAACAGCUUUUGUUCUUUUGGCUCUGCCCUCACUAGGUGGAGCCUCCAAUCCUUCAAAUUCGUGAAUAGUUCUUAGAGGCACUGGUGGCAAGGAUGUCCCUCUUCUACUGUUGUGACUCAAUGCUACUGGAGUUAGAUGGCAUGGGUUUGAAUCCCACAUUCAUUCAUUCAAAAUACAUUUAGAAAGAGUGCCCACUAUGAACCCAACACCAUUCUAGAUGCUAAGGAAAAGGUGGUCCAAGCUCCCUUUGUAAUUGAGGUUCUAGUGAAGGGAGACAAAUAUAAUAAAUAAGCAACUAAAUAUAUAAUAUUCCAGAGAGGGAUAAAUGCUAUGGAUAAAAAUACAUUGGCAUGGGGGGGUAGGGAGAACAGGUGGUGAAGGUAAUGGUGGUUCGAUGUUAGAUCAAUUAGGCAGUGAAGGGCUCACUUUUUUUUUUUAAUUGAAGUAUAAUUGACAUACAAUAUCCUAUUAGUUUCAGGUGUACAUCACAGUGAUACAAUAUUUUUAUACAUUAUGAAAUGAUCCCCACAAUAAGUCUAGUUACCAUCUGUCACCAUACAAAGUUAUUACAAUAUUAUUGACUAUAUUCCCUAUGCUGUACAUUCUAUCCCUGCGACUUACUUGUAACUGGAAGUGUGUACCUGGUAAUCCCCUUCAGUUAUUUUGCCAGGCCCCCAACUCCCUCUUACUCUGGUAACCAACAGUUUGUUUCCUGUAUCUGUGAGUCUGUUUUCUGUUUGGUUAGUUCAUUUGUUUUGCUUUUUAGAUUCCACAUACAAAUGAGAUCAUACGGUAUUUGUGUUUUUCCAUCUGACUUAUUUCACUUAGCAUAAAACCCUCUAGGGUUGUCCAUCCAUGUUAUUGCAAAUAAAAAGCUCACCUCUGGGGUGAUUCUUUUGUAGACACUGAAAGGGACAAGCUCUUUGGCGGAAGGAAUCAAAGAAGAAAGAGCAGUAGGCAUAAAGCCAAGGGAGCAGGAGUAUGUUUUGUGUGUCCCAGGAACAGCAAGGAAGCCAGUUGACUACCAAAGUCCAGAUAUCAAAGGAGAGGUCUAGGCUGGACCUGUCACCUGAGGAAUGAUUGUAGCUGGAAGAGGGAAAAGAUCUGAAACCCUAGGAGAUUGUAACAUCUCAAUGUUGAGGGAGACCAGGAGGAAUAAGCACAGGAUACCGAGGUGGUCAACUGGUGAGGGAGGGUUGUCCCAGAAUGGAAGGGCAAAAAAAGCAUCUUAAGGAAGGUGUGGACACCUGCAUCAAACACUACUGGCGGUUCAUGUUAGAAUGAGAAUUUACCACUGCACUCAGCAAUGAGAAGUCACUGCUGCCCUUGACAAGAGCUGUUUCCGCAGAAUGGAGGGAACAAGAGCCUACUUGGGAUGUGUUCAAGAAAAGACAGAAGAGAAGAAUGGGAGGGAGGGUGUAAAGACAACCAUUUUAAGGAGUUUGAUUAUAAAGGGGAACAGAAAUGGAGUAGCAGUUUGAUUUAGAUGUGGAGUUAGAGGAAGUUGUUUGUGUUUUUGAUCAGAGAAAUAACAUCCUGUUUGUAUAUGGAUUCCAAGAGAAGGAAACUGGUACUAAAGCAGUGUCCUUGGGUAGGCAUGAGGGGGUGGGUGGGCUCUAGUGAAAAGUGGAGGGAUUGGCUUUAGAUAGCAGGUGGACAGUUCACCCAGAACAAUGAGAGGCCAGGGAAACACAUGGGCAGAAAUGCAGAAAGAUGGGCAGGCGUGAUUGUAGAAACUUCACUUUCUCAGUGAAGUUAUGAGCUGUGAGCUCUUUAGGGGGAAGAAGUAUUGGAGAUUUCAAGAGAGAGGAGGUGAAAGAGUCCCAGGAAGGCGAGUGGACAUGGAAGGUAGGCUGCCAGGCACCGCAGGGCCCACUUGAGGUUUGUGGCAACAACUAAAGGGAGAUCAGUCAGCAUGGUUGUUUCCUUCAGUUGCACUUGGCUGCCCCCAUGCAGACAUGGGGUAAGGGGAGAGUUGAAUAGCUUCGGGUUUUGCCAGCUGAGCAUGCUGAAGGGAAAUUGGUUGAGGCAGUUGAAGGUAUACACAGGGAGUAACACCAUCAUGGUCCAUGGAAGUUGGGUAAGGAGGGCAGAAGAUAGUGAAGGGGUGAGAGACAAUUAUAGGAUACCAGGAACCUUGGCUUGUAGGUCCUGGUGUGGUCCAAGAAUUUUUGGGGCUGGGGCAUUAGAAAAGGUGAGCUGGAAAGUCCAAGAGGGAGAUGCUGAAACAGAGUACAGCUGCAGUUGUGGUUAGUGAUGAUGUCUAGGCAGGAGCAUGGACAUGGGGGGCUAGCUGAGGUAGGUAGAAGAAAAUCAGCUUCCUGUUGUAGUUUACAUGGCGGUGCUCCCUGAAGCCCAACUCUGUGUUUAAAGCACCAGGAACUGUGAUAGAAGUGGCUUUGGAAAGAGUCCAACUAAACUAGAAUCUUCAAAGAAUAAGUGGGAGGGACACAGAGGUCAGGGAUAAGGAGGGAGAGGGACAGUGAAGAGGAAGUCUAGCUCACCCUCCGGCUUGAGAGAAGCUUGAGAGAAAUGGAAGUGAAGACAACUCCAUCUGGGGGGGUAGACAGUCCUCCAUUUGUUAGCCAUGUGACCCUGGGGGCGUUAUUUAACCUCCUUGUGCCUUUGUUUUUGCAAAUGUAGAAUGGAGAUAAUAAUUGUACCCUCAUAGGAUUGUUCUGAGGAUCCAAUGGGAAUGUAUGAGGUGUGCUUAGCACAGACCCUGGCCCAACAUGGGUUUGUUUCUUUGUUUUCAAUUGAAGCAGUUCUGUCAGCUUCAAUCCGGGUCACUGGAGCUCCUGUUUUUCUGAAGGGACAAGAAUGAGUCCUUGCCGGGUGCUGGGUGCUUCUCAGGGAGGGUGAGGUGCAGGGCUGAGACCAGGAGGAGAUGCUGGCUUAUCCACGAGAGGCACAGUUCAGAGAGGAGGGUGAGGCUAGAAGUCCUGCCGCCAAGACGGAGCAAUUAAAUAUGUAGAAGGCGGAGAGGCUUGACAGAAGAAAUGGAAGUAAAACAUGUUUCUAAUCAGAGCCACGAUGAGGGCUGCCUGGAGGCUCUAUUGGUAAUUGAUGUGCCUCUGACAAUAAUUAGAAACAAUUUCUGGGGACUUACAGGAUAGAGUCACCUAGUGAUAUUAUUUACCAUGGAGAGUAGUGUCUGGAGUGAAAAUGGAUGUUAUUGUUUCCUCAGAACACAUUAGAAGGUGACUUCAUGGUGAAUAGAUUUUUCAAGAUAUUUGACAUUCACUGACUUUCUAUUUAACUCCUCUUAGUCACAGAGGCCAUUACUGUAAUGACAAUACCUGGAUUUAUCUCUUUUAAUGGCAGAAGACAUGUGGGAGAUAAAUCCUCCCAGUGUUGGGUCCCGGACUCCCUGAGCUGCUGAGACACCUGAGGCAUUCUGGGAAUGCAGCAGCCCAGAGCACAGCUUCAGUCCAAGGGUGACUCACCCACAGAGGCCGAGGGGCAGGAUUAGCACAAACCACAUUGCCUUUUUCUAAUGUGAGCUUUAUUUUAUGCUACUUGGGAUUACGUGUGAUAAUGUAUGUAAAGUGCCAGAGCUUGGCACAUAGCAAGCACUCAGAAAGUGUUGGCUCAUUAAUUAUUAUUUUCUUGGGUUCUUCUGAUAAGACUUUGAGACCGUGCGUAUUUGGCAAACUCCAAGCCCUGGGGAUGGUGGUAGAGCUGAGAGAGAAUCAGUGGCAUUAUAGGGCCGUGGAGCUAGUGGGUUAUAUUCCUCUUGGGACAGCCAUGGUUCAGUGGCUGGAGUUUUUCCUUGAGUUGACUUUUUUAAGCCUGUAGGCAAGAUGCCAAAUGGCAGUUCAGCAAGGGUACUACAUAGGGGUUGGAAAUAAAAACUUUACAGAUCAGACAACAUGCAAUUGCCUCCUGCCCCCUCUGUGCUGGCGGACCAGGGAGCACUGAUGUGGUUUCCAUGGAAUGGGGCAUCUAAAACUGUAACCUAGCCUCCAGGCUAGAGGGGCAAAUGGAGACCUGACAGCUUACCUCACACUCCUGCCAGUUCAUCAGGAUGGGAAACAACAAUAAAGGCUUGUUGAGGUCUAAGCCCUACAGAUGGUUCUCAAAAGGAGUAUUAUUGGCAUUUGGGGUUGGGGUGGGGGAACAGUUCUUCACUGGGUGGGACUGUACCAACAAUGCAGGAUAUAUGGUACCUGAGGCCUCUGUCUCAGUAACGUCAGUAGAGCUUACCUCACAGGUGCUGCAAGAACCAAAAGGUUUCUUAACCUCCCCAGGUUGGGAACCACAGUGUGAGGAACGACAAGCCUGGGUUAUCCUCCCUGCAAAUAUGCCUGCACACCUGCUAGCUGGUGGCCACCUGACCUCAGCUCCGUCACUCCCUCAUCCUGGUUCUUUUUUUUUUUUUUUUAAUGUUUAUUUAUUUUUGAGAGAGAGAGAAUAUGAGUGCAUGAAAGGGGAAGGGGCAGAGAGAGGGGGAGACACACAAUCUGAAGCAGGCUCCAAGCUGUUAGCAAAGAGCCUGAUGCGGGGCUCGAACUCACGAACCAUGUGAUCAUGACCUGAGACAAAGUCAGACGUUUAACCAACUAAGCCAUCCAGGCACACCCCGCCCCCCCCCGCCCUCAUCCUGGUUCUUAAGUGUAUAAGGCUGGCAGAGUGAGUUCUCAGAGUUGAAAAGUAUUUAAAGAUUGUAGAUCCUGACUGGCCCCUCCUUGGAGAUGUGGCCUUUCCUGAGGGGGCUGUAUUAGUCACACUACCCCAGUCAUGCUUGAGUAUGACCGGCAGAGGGUGAUUGAACCUAAGGCCAAUGGAGCUUCAGAUUCAGAACCUCUUCCAAGGCUUGUGUAUGAAUGAAACUUGAUAAGAUUCCCAAAUUUGAAACAUCCUAGAAUUUUAGAUGACAUUACCAGUAACUCCUCACUUGAGAAGCUUGGCGGUGGAAUGAUAUUAAGAAUAGCUGCAGAUUAUUAUGUCUGUGUGUGCCAGGCACUCUGCACCAGGUGCUUUCAAUGGUUCUGUGCAUUCCUUUUUCAUUACCCCUAUUUUAUAAUUGAGGAAAUUCAGGCACAGAGAGGUGCUUAAGAUCACACCUUACAACAGGGUUAAGAAUCAGGAUUCAAACUCCCACGUUUCUGACCCCAAAGUCCCAUGUGUUCUGCAUUUGGCUACACUGCCUUUCAGGCAGGGGGAAUAGCUAAUACCAGGAAGUGUGUGUCUAGUAAAGGGGUUUGUAUUUAUCUGAAGAGUGGGUGUCCAGCUUAGGCUGGCAGCAAGGGGUCCCUGCAGAGGUGGGCUUUGGGCGGGCACGGCGGUGAGUGGGAGCAGUUUAAGAGGAGAAGGGGUGGGGGUGGAACACUCUGGAGGGAACUUGAAGAGUCUGACUAGGCCAAGUUCAAUCCAGAAGUUACUAUUCAUGAAACAACAGUGGCAUUGCCCUUCUCUCACUGAUCAGAGGCCAUGGAGCCCUCGGACUUGCCAGUUCUGGAGCAGACAGGCAAGGCUGGGCCGACAGGCAGGAGAGUCAGCAGAGGCAUUUCUCUGUUGGCAGAGAUUUGGUAUUUGAAGUACAGGUUGGGUAAGUAUAGGCAUUAAGAAUGUACGUUUUCAGAAAAGAGUAAAUAAAGGCACACGCACAAGACAGACACACCCCAGUAUGCACUCACGUGGGGCAAGAGCAGUGCCCCACAGAGAGGAGAAUUCCAGAGAGGCCAGAAGGAGACACAUUAUCUUACCCACAGCAAGCGAGGGGAUCUCUCCAAUGGUUUCUUAGUGAGGAAGAGUUUGAAAUGUACAUGAGAAACCCCUCUUAUCUCACUCGUUCAGUGUUGUAUAUAAUUAUGCUUAACUAAGCUAUGUGUGAUUCUCAUUAUAUAAUGUAGCUUCAUUAUCAACAUUCCCCUCUUUGCCAUCAUAAAGUAAAGAAUUAAAGAUUCACUGGGUAAUCUGACAAUUAGCAAAAUGGAAAAUGCACAAGCUCUGUGAGCCGCUUGUUGGAAUGUAUCUGACAGAACUACUAGCACGGGUACAUAAAGAAAUAUGGACAAAGAUAUUUAUUACAGGACCAGUUGAAUAAAUUAUGGGUCAGUAGACAGUGGAUUACUAUGUAAUCAUUAGAAAAGGCUUGAAUAGAUUUAUAUUAAGUGAAAAAAAAAGCAAUGUGUAGGAUAAUCUUAUUGUGUAAUGUGCAAACACAGUCUUUUUAUUAUUUUAAAAUUGCUGUGUGUUAUGUAUAUAUCUACACAUGUUUGUGUGAACAAUGCAGAAAAAACUCUGGAAGGACUGUGGAUACCUUUGAGAGCUGAAGUUAGAAAUAAGAAGGAAUUUUCAGUUUUUUAUUUACACCAUUCCCCAGAAGGUAGAAGUAGUGGGUUUGUGGGUGAGUUUUGUUUCCUUUUUGCACUUUUGCAAUAUUUUUCCAAAUUUCCCAUAAAGAACCCAUGCUGCUUUGAUGAUCGAGCUUCAUUUCUGCCUGGGAAGCAGCAUGGUGUAUGUAGUAGCCCCACUGUAUGCAGAAGCUGAAGCAAAGCAUAUGGUUGUGCAGUCAGCACACCUGAGUUCACAUUCCCUCUACUGCUGUGCAGUAGAUGAUGGCUGUGAAGAGAUGACUUCACCUCUCCGUGUCACAGUUUGUAUCCCAUGAGAUUGUUGGGAGGGUUCAGUGAGACCCUUUGUGCAGAGGGUGUGGUCAGGAUUUAGGAAUGGUUGAGUAUGGACUUCCUUGCAGGAAAGAUCAAGCUCCAGUGCACAGGUAGACAGGUUGAUGUUGAGCCAAGGGCUAUGUUUUGCUGUCUCCAUCUAAGAUCGGAGGGACAGGACCCAACUGGAGGCGAAACAGGCCAAUGAAGAGAUGAGAGUAGUGUCAGGACCCUGCUUGGGGUGCUUUUCCUCUCUCAGUAGAGCCACAGGGAAAAGGUCCAGAAUAACCCUUAAAUUUGAGUCCUUGCCCACCUUACAUGUGGUCCAGCGAGGUUUUUCCUUCCUCCUACAGACCUCACUUCUGCCUGAUUUUCUGGGACUGAAGUCUGAAGGUUUUAGUAGGGGACCUACCUUACCCUCCUCCACUGGGAGGCAGGGAGAAAGGGAACCUACCCUUUCUGCCAAGUUCUACAAUGCCCUUAGCCAAUCUGGUCAGGUUGCACCUGUUACCCAAUCUUCCCUCAGCUUUCUUCAUUUUGAAGCUUGAACAAACCAUCAGUCACCGGGAGCUGGGUUCUGCCUAUGGUGGAAAUUGGUUUCUCAGAAUUUACUGUUGGCCUCUAAAAUCAUGAACACUGAAAAUAACUCAUGGCCCCAUUUGUGGUUCCUUUUCAGAUAAAUCAUAAGCCAGACAAAUCUAGUGUGAAAGUCACAGUGGCCAAUGUAGAUAUCAGCAUAUUUAGGCUCUCUUAUUUGACUGAUUUGACUGUUUAAUGAAACAGGCCUCCAAGUAACUGAAAAUGGUCACCUGAAGGCCGUGUAAGGACAACUACACACUGAAAAACACCCGAGUGUGUGGAAGCUCCGUGUCUGAAAGCACCCCUCCCUCUUGGUAGGUGAGAACACAGCUAUGUCACUUUGCCUCUUGAGAUCUCUUACAGUUCUGAGAAUACAGGGGAAGGCACAGAUGGCCAAGAUGUCUCACAGUCUGGCCCUAGUCAUUAUUGCCAGCCUCACCUCCUACCAACUUCCCUUCCUGCACUUUGCCCCCUGCCUCCUAAACCAUCUUGAGAGACUUGCUCCUCUCUGACACCUAAGACAUAUGUCUCUCUCCAAGCCAGCUCAUGCUUUCCCAUCCAUAGUGGUUUGUGUUGCUUCUCUGAUUGGCUAAUUCCAAUGCAUUCUGAGCGACCCCAUUCAGCUAUAAUCUGCUCUAAAUGUCUUUCUAGAGUCUUCUACCUUGGUGUUUCCUAAGACUUUGUUCAUACUUCACUGGUCUUACUGUUUUUUAAUUUUGGUAAUAUUUUGUUUACUUAGUUACUAUUUGCUUUUAUGAUCUAUACUUAUACUUCUUUAUCUUAUCAUGGUGUGUUAUAUACUUAAUAAGUAGCUCUCAAACCUCAGGGGGCAAAAGUAUUUACAAGUGGCAGUAGCAACAACAACAAUUUAUUGAACACGUAUAACAUGCAGGCCUGGGAUUGGUAAAAUAGUGGACUACACAAUAGACUGGGUCCUAGAAUGUAUUCUGUUAUUGUGUUCCUUCUUCCAGAAGGGACCUCUGAUUCCAGAGCUUUACUGUGGAGCCUGGGAAUCCGCAGGUACUAAUUACAACCCUGGAUGAUUCUGAUAUAAGUUGUUGGAGACACACUCUUUAGGUAACAGUGUAGUAAACUUACAGUUUAUAUGAAUGUAAUGAAUAUCAUUUACAAUAUUGCUGUAGAAUAAAUUUGAAUCCAAGUGCCUUGAGCCUGGUGUGUGAGAACUAGCCACUUAGUUAGUGAGCAAAGCUAAUUAACCAUCUAGGACCCUCAUCUCAACGAUAGUGUGUUGUGUUUCUCUUCCAGUCUUGUAGUAAAUGGUGUAACAUUUCCUAAACAAGUAUACUAGUGAACCUAAUUCUGCAAUACAUGGGAAAAUGUACUAGGUGCUAUAAUUGCAGAAUAAAGAAAGUGCUAUUGGGUAACAGAAGAGGGAGAAAUUAAUUUUGACUGGGAUAAUUAAUUUAUAGCUAGCAGUUGAAUGAAAUGCCAAAAGCAAACAAACACACACAGGUGUUCAGGAUUGUUUUUCUGACACCAUUUGCUAUUCAUUUGUGUGUUGCUUGCUAUGAGCAGGAACAUGGGUAUAACUGGAGAUCUGUGAAUGCCAAUCUUCAAGACAAGGAGCUGCCAAGGAGGGCUUUGAUAUGGCCAAAGAAUUUUAUUUUGCAUUUCAGAAAUCUCAUUACAAUUAUGCCUUAGUAGACAAUAGUGAGAUAUAUUCAAUUCCAAGCCCACAAAAAUCAUAACAUGGAGGAAAGGCUCUGUAGAGGUUACACAAUAACUUACCUUUAUGGAAUUUUUACAUCUCCCAGAGGAAGCAUGAAAUUAUGCAAUUUUUAUACGAUUAAUCAAUUCCAGAAUAGUCUGUUUGUCCAAGGAGCGGACUUUUGGCUUCUCUCUCCCUGUAGUAGUGCUUUGUUGGUUGGUUGAGGAUUUCGUCGGAGAACUGGGGAAAGAUCCUGGAAUUUAGUGAGAAACACCAUAUUAACAUCAGACAUGUAUGUAUUCAUUAACAACUUCUAGAACUAUUUGUUGAGCACUUACUACGUGCCAAGCAUAAUGUUAAGCACUAUAAGUCAAUACCCCACAAAACAGGCCCUGACUUCACUCUCAUGUAGACACAAUCUAGUGGGAGUUACAGAAAAGUGAAGGGAUAUGGAUUUACAUUUGAAGUGAUUGGUUAAAGUAGUUUGGUUAAAGUAAAGUGAUUGGUUAAAGUAGUGAUUGGUUAAAGACAUUUUUCAUGGCCCAAGAAGUAGGGGUAGGUAACAAGCAGUUCUUUGGGAGAGUCCAUAAGCUGGCUCAUAGGACAAAUAAGAAGUACAGAGUCCGUAAGUAGGGACACCAAAAAAAGGCAAUUAGAAGCAGCAAUUUAAGGAUUGGCCUCUGGGUGAUCAUUCCUGGGAAUGGUCCUUUAGUCUGAUGCCCUUAAAGACUGGCCAUGGGUUUGCUGUGUGGCAUGUUGUCUUAAGGGUGCUGCUCAGGGACUAAUGCUCACAGAAGAGAAACCCCCUGGGCCUGGAACAAGGUCAAGUAGACUGAACAAGCCUGUGCCUGGUGCCCCAGACACUUACAGUGCACUCAUUGAGCUUUGUAUUGGUGGACUGAGCUUCAUACAGCAGAAACCACUCUAGUGAACUUAAGUAGAAAUAUUACCAGAUACUGCUAUUACCAGAUAUUGGCUCAAAGAGCUAGCUCUAGGAUUCUCCUCAAAGAACACUUCCAGGCUUCAAAGUCAUACAAACCUCGGCUAUAAUCCAAGCAGUUGCAUUUCUGCUUCAGGAGGCCACUGAAUUAAGAGGCUGCUGACUCAGAUUGCCUCUGCCUCAGUCCGUACCAGCAAAUGGAUAGGUGUUUCUGUCUUCCUCUUUUCAAGUUUAUUCGGUAAAACUGGAGUUUUUCUGGAAUUCUAGCUGCAAAGGAGCCUGGGAGAUGUAGUUUUUGGCUUUCUGGACUCUUCAGCAUAGGAAGGCACACUAGAAGGAGGUUAGAAUAAAUUUGGAGUAAGCUAAUUACAGUAUCUGCUAUAGGUAUGCAUCUCUCCCUGGUCUAAUCAGGUACAAGUGGGAGAUUCAAAUACAACAUAUCCAACUUCCACCAUUUUAGUUAAUAGGAUGAAGGUUUUAGGGAUAGAAUAUUGGAUCUCCUGGCCCUGCAGGGUCAGGGAUUUGGGUACUUUUUCAAAGGUUGUAGGAGCUGGAGAAGGACAGCCAUGAAACUGACAGCCAGGAUGUGAUGGAAAGGGCCAGGCACAGCCAACAGAGAAUAUUCUGGAAUGCAGUGGGAGAUGAGAGAGGAGUAAUGGAGGUACAUAAUUCAGAGGGGUAGCUGAGCCUCAAAGGCCAGAGAAAGCAGUUGAGAUUUCAAGAGCAGGAACUCAGGAAUGGUUCACUUUGUUAUUCUGAUUAAUUGUUGGAGAAGUCAUGAUGUUGACCUAUUACUGAGUUAAUUAGGAGGUCAUAUGCAUACCACCCAGUGUCUUCCCAACACUCCGGUCACUCAGUGGUUGAUCUUAGUCUCAAGAUUUCCUGAGAGACGCAGAUCACUCAAUCUGAUUACCUCACCGAGCAGCUUUCCUUCUGGGAUAGGCUUUGUCUUCCCCAGUGGGACUGGGUCAUGAGAUUCACCUGCAGGCUCAGUCUGACCUAGAUCCUGAGCCAACUGUGACAGAGGCAGGAGGUGAGAGAAUUCCAGCCUCAUCAUUCAGGAGGAUUCAAAGAGAAAACUAGAUGCCAACAGACCUGGUAUGUGGACCACUAUGGGUUCAUUUCCUUUAUUCAUUCACUUAACAUUGAGCCCCUGUUAUGCACCAGACACAUGCACACUCUGCAGGGUGAUCUAAUGCAAGCAAGAUGAGUCAGACACCAUUAGGUGGAGAAGUGAUGGAACAGCAUAUCAUGCAAGAGAAAAUAGGAUGUGCAUAAGCCUUGUGGCUGAAGUGGAAGUAAUGAAAGUCAGCGUGGCUGGAGAGAUGGGCAGGGGCUGGACAGUGAAGGCUUUAUUGACUCCAUUAGAGACUUGUGCUUUCUCCUAAGAGUAUAGGGAAGCCAUUGAAAAACGUGUUAGGUGGGAAGAUGGACAUUAGAUCACACUUUAUCAUCAGUCCCAUGCUUGCUUUCUUGAAGGAUUGAUAAGAUGGGGAGAGGCUAAAGUAGGUACAGGGAGAUCAGGUAGGAAGCUCUGCAGUAGUAGUGAAGGUAAGAGAUGAUAAUCACACAGAGGGGGGUAGUGCUAAGGAGGAAGAAAUUUAGAGGAGGAAGAAGACAAUAUAAGAAAUGAACAGUUUUGUUCUUUUCUCUCUAGUCACUUCAAACACUAUUUUCAUUUUUAUUUUUUUAUAAAAAUUUUUAAAAUGUUUUAUUUAUUUAUUUAUUUUCGAGAGAGAGAAAGACAGAGCAUGAGUCAGGGAGGGACAGAGAGAGAGAGAGGAAGACACAGAACUUGAAGCAGGCUCCAGGCUCUGAGCUGCCAGCACGGAGCCCAAAGUGGGGCUUGAGUUCACAAACCGUGAGAUUAUGACCUGAGCCAAAGUCGGAUGCCUAGCCAACUGAGCCACCCAGGAGACCCUAUUUUCAUUUUUAGACUUGUUUUUUAUUCUCAUAUUUAUCUUUCUAACUUUUAUACUAGCAAAAGAAAAUCAAAGGGAAUAGAUCUAUUUAGGAAAAGUCACAUCACAAUAUGGAUAUGCUUGCAUAUAACACAUGCCAAAGAUUCUGAAGUGGUAUAUAGUCUGUAUUAUAUAUAGUGCCAUGGUUAAGAGCAUGGAUUUUGCAGAGUAAUAGUGAUGUGACCCCUCAUGAGCUAUUUCACCUUUCUGGGCUUCAGAUUCAGUGUCUACAAAAUGAGGAUUGAUAGUACCAAACUCGGUGGCUGCUCUGAGAAUUAAAUGAGACAAUCCCUAUAAAGCCAUUAGCAUAGGUCCUGGCAUAAUGAAAAUGCUUGAUGAAUGUUAACUUGUGUUGUUCUUCAUAGAUAUUAUCUGACCAACCUCUACACAGUUGGUUGAUGGUCCUGUGGACCUUCAGAGCCACCGUGGAGCAAUGUGUAAGCAAUUAUUGCAAGGACCCUAAAAAAGGUUAUUCUUUAAUUCUGCCUUUUUCCCCUAAAGCGAGGUUCUGUCUCUGGGACUGCAGAACUUGUUGGAGAAGGAUUUCAUGGCAAGGAGGGUGGGGAGGAGGGAGGAGAAAGGAUUGGUGAGGGGGAAGACUAUGAAGUGGGACACAGGAUUUCUGCUCCCGUUGGGUAAUGUUGGUAAUAGUUUUAUUGUGGCUCAUUUGUUGUAAAGCUCUCAUUUGUUUUUUAUUCCUCAUUCAUUGUGUGCCAAGCACUGAUACAGGUAUUGGGGAUACUGUCAUGAACAAAGUCUCAGCUUCUAUGGAGCUUACAUUUUGGUGAGGUUAUCUUUUUUGUCAGCAAUUUUAUCUUCCUGGAAGUCUUAGUUGGCCCUCACUUCUUCCUCCAUGAUAGGAAUGAAAAGAUCCAGUAGAACACACUGCCUAUUCUAGAUCCAUAUUGAAAAGAGUUUUAUUGUGUGGAGUUUGGUGUUUACUCUUCCUAUGGAAAUUCAGUUUGUCUUCUGUAAGGAAGGGGAAUAAUAGAGAAGUUAAUCACUCCAAAGAAUCAUCCUCCUAUCAGUCUUCAAAAUAUCCAUGUUGUCAGAGAUGAAGAAAAUGAGGCUGAGAGCUUAAGUGAUUUUCCCAAGUGGAGGUGGGACUCAAGAUUUGGAUUUUACAAUCCCAUGCUUGAUUUCUGUUUUCCACAAACUGGGAGUUAUUUGCUCAACUGUAAACAAAUAAAUUGAAUGGCAUUAGCCCAGUUGACAGUUGGCUUGAUGUUGGUGGUUAGAGUUUCCAGUUAAUAGAUUUUACAGUGAAUACACUUUCAGAUAGAGUAGUCUUCUUGGCAUAUGACAGAGCUUAGUGGUUCCCAAAUGCUGAGUCCACGGACCAAUGUCUAUGAUAGAGUCAUCACCAAUCUCAACAAAAUGCGAAAUAAAUUUAAGUUAAAGGCUGUUCUUCUCAUAAUGUCUUUUCAACUUUUUGUUAUGAGAUGAUGAUGAAAGUAAGAGGUAGUUAGGCGUUUGUUUUCAAAUUGCUAUUUUACAAAAUAAAAAGUUGGCAAGCCUAUGUCUUGCAAUUCUUUCUUUGUUACAGUUUACUGCUGGGUAAAUUCAAAAGGUUGGGGAAAACUGAUACAGCCAAUGAAAUGAAAAAAUAGAAGUUCUGUUUCUAGAAAUAUGGAAUACUAGGUGUUAAAAAAAAAGAUCCUCCUAGUGCAAAACACCUAAAAAGGAAGUAAAAUUGGAAAAAUUAGAUAUAAAAAAAUGCAUAGUUGUAUUGGCAAGAAAGGAAAAUUCUUAGAGACCAGAAAUGACAAGAAGGCACAAAUCAAAGAAAACUACACCUGGGAGAGACAAGACAAAUCUCAAGGUGUGAACAAUGUGGGAAAUAGGAUCUAAGACUUUUGCCUAAAGCUAGUGCUCCCCAAUGGUCAUAUCCUUGGUGAAAAGAGGAAGUAAGAAAAAAAAGUGCCCCUCAAAGGAAGCCCAGUAUACAACUGCCUGUCUUACCCUUGGGAUACUAGGAAGGAUGAAUUUCUCCUAAGAAAUUCAUAGCCAUGAGUCAUUCUCAUAGGAUUUAACGCUAGAAUUCCCAUUACUAAUAUGAGCUGAAAAAUCCCAAGCUGAGAAUCCAAAAUAGUCUGAGUUGGGUAUUCUCUCCAGGUACCUGAUGGGAGCAGGUAAAUUUUCUCUGAAGGCGUGCUUCUUGAUUUCGGCCUUAAAGAAUUCCUACAGAUAUAAUUCCAAUUAACAUUAGCUCAAAAUUAAAAACCACAAAAUAUAUGAAGAAAUAAAAUGUCAUGGCUAGCAAUCAAGAGAAACAUCAAGAAACAAAAUCAGAACUUUAAAAAUUUCAAAUAUUAGAAAUGUUGGAUACAAAAUAUAAAAGAGGUAUUAAAGUAUAAGAAAUUACCAGGUAUAUACCUGGUAAUUUCUUAAUUUUUAAAAAAUUUUAAACUUUUAAACUUUAAACUUUUAAACUUUAAACUUUUAAAAAAUUUUCAUGUUUAUUCAUUUUUGAGAGACACAGCUCAAGUUGGGGUGGGGCAGAGAGAGAGGGAGACACAGAAUCCAAAGCAGUCUCCAGGCUCUGAGCUGUCAGCACAGAGCCUGAUGUGGGGCUCGAAUCCACAAACUGUGAGAUCAUGACCUGAGCCAAAGUCAGUUGCUUAACUGACUGAGCCCCCCAGGUGCCCCCCCCAGGUAUAUUUUUUAAAAAGAACCAAUUAGAACUUGUAUAAGUGAAAAAUUAAACCACUGGCAUUUAGAAGUUUCACUUACACAGGUGGAAAGAGAGUUAGUGAACUGGAAGAUAGAUAUGAAAUAAUUACUCUGAAAGCGUGGAAGAACCAGGUUGCAAAUAUGGGAGAUAGAUUAAGAGAAAUUAAAGUCAGAAGGUGCAAUAUACAUCUAAGUAGAAUUACAGGAAGAAAUAAUAGAGAUAAUGAGAGAGAUGCAUACCCAAAGUUAUAAUGAAGGGAAAAUUUCCAGAACUGAUGAAAUAGAAGAAACCUUAAAUUCAAAAAUCCUUAUGAAUACCAAGCAUGAUAAAUUAGAAAGCCACACCUAGGGGCACCUGGGUGGCUCAGUCGGUUGAGCGUCCUAUUUCAGCUCAGGUCAUGAUCUCACAAUUCGUGAGUUCGAGCCCCACAUCGGGCUGUCUGCUGACAGCUCAGAGCCUGGAGCCUGCUUCGGAUUCUGUGUCUCCCUCUCUCUCUGCUCUUCCCCUGCUCACAUGCUGUCUCUCUCUCAAAAAUAAAUAAAGAUUUAAAAAAAAAAAAAAGAAAGCCACACCUAGACACACUGUAUUGAAGUUAUAGAAUAUAAAGAUAAACAGACCUUGGAAAAGCUACAGAGAAAAGAAAAAUAAGCUAUGAAGGAAUGAUAAGAAGUUGAUAGCUGACUUCUCAACAGCAUCUAUCGAAAUUAAAGGAGAGAUACACAUUCACAAUCCUUCAUUGAAAAAUAGGUAACAAGCCACAUGUAAUAUCUAAAGAAUUGUAUCCUCAAAAGGCUUACAUUGUAGUAGCAUUAUGAAAACACCUUUUUAACCAUAACUGGAAUGAAUUGGCCCACAAACUUGAAAUACAGAAUUUUUCCCCUAUGUUUUUAGCCAGCCAUUUGAUCACUCAUGUGUCCCACCUGCUUUAUUUUCAGGAAGCUCAGUGUCUUCUUUCGAGAGUUACCAUGCCCUUUAAAUUGAAUUGUCUAAGAACACUGGAUACUUACUCCAAAGUGUAUUAGUCCUCUUCUAAUGCCAGAUGUAGAGGGAAAUGGAUUUGGUCAGUUUAUACCACCCAGUGCAGUUACUUUUUCACUGAUGUAUGUAUUGUAGUUGAAUUUGGCCUUGAAAAAUUCCAUGGAUAUUUGUCCAUUGCAAAGACAUUUUGAUGAGUUCAGAUCAUUGUUUGAUCAGUUUAACUUAUAACUUUCUUGAGUAGAAAUCAUAACCUCCCAGAGAGCAGUGGGUCACAUUGACUACUACCACCAUUUUCAGAUGGAAAAUUACUGUACUUAUUUCCCAGAGCGGUCACCUGCCUUCUCAGAGUGGAGGCAGAGUUUUAAAACCAUAGGAAACACCAAAAGUCUUAUAUUCAUCUUUCCCAGGGCAAUGACACCUGCUUAGUCUAUACUUAUAUGACCAGGGGGACUACUCAAUGACCCUCACAGGAUCUUCUCCAGGGGAUCAUUUCUCUUCUUCUAUAGACUGAAUGUUUGUGUCCUCUCAAAAUUCAUGUUGAACUCUAAGCUCCAGUGUGAUAGGAUUUGGAAGCGAGGACUUUUGGAGGUAAUUAGGUCACGAGAGCAGAAGCCUCAUGAAUGGGAUUGAUACCCUUGUAAAAGAGACCCAGGAGAGCUCCCUUGUUCCUUCCACCAUGUAAGGACACGGUGAGAAGACAGUUGUCUAUGAACCAGGGAGUGGUUCUCACCAGACACCCAAUCUGCUGGGGCUUUGAUCUUGGACUUGGCCAGCCUCCAUAACUGUGAGAAAUAAAAUUCUGUUGUUUAUAAGCCACUCAGUUUAUAGUAUUUUGUUAUAGCAACCUGGACUAAGACAUUCUUCUAAGCUACAAGGUCUUUUCACUUCUCAUUCACAGCCCACUUUCAGCAACUGAUCCCAAAUGGGCAGAAUCUACUUAUAUCAUGACACAGCUGCCAACUUCUCUUGCUAAAGGAGAACAAAACUCACAGAAUCCAUUUCUCAUGGGGCAACUCUAUGAGGCAGACUACUAUAGCUGAAAUGCCUGAACAUACGUUUACCUGUGGGUAACAGGUAUGCUUGUGUGAAAAUCU
rnacentral:lncRNA from 1 species